rnacentral:rRNA from 1 species
UACCAAGGGUGCAAGCGUUACUCGGAAUUACUGGGCGUAAAGCGUGCGUAGGUGGUCGUUUAAGUCCGUUGUGAAAGCCCUGGGCUCAACCUGGGAACUGCAGUGGAUACUAGGCGACUAGAGUGUGGUAGAGGGUAGCGGAAUUCCUGGUGUAGCAGUGAAAUGCGUAGAGAUCAGGAGGAACAUCCAUGGCGAAGGCAGCUACCUGGACCAACACUGACACUGAGGCACGAAAGCGUGGGGAGCAAACAGG